AUGGAGGGGACUCUGGUUCAGUCUGCCAUUGCUCCUACCGCCUACAGGAGUAGCUCUACGCGGUCCCGUGUGCGCACAAGGGCCACAAUGUUACGCAGUACGCCAACGAGGACCCUCAUUCUCGGGGGUUUUCAAGGACUGCGGCAAACAAAUUUCCUGGAUACAAGGUCUGUUAUCAAACGUGACUUUGGCUCCAUUGUAGCAAGCCAGAUUUCACGACCACGUGGGUCAGGUUCAAGAAUGGUUGUCCGGGCCAUGUUCGAGCGCUUUACAGAGAAAGCAAUCAAGGUGAUUAUGCUUGCACAGGAGGAAGCAAGACGCCUAGGCCACAACUUUGUUGGGACUGAACAGAUUCUGCUUGGCCUUAUUGGUGAGGGAACUGGAAUUGCAGCAAAGGUUCUAAAGUCUAUGGGGAUCAGUCUUAAGGAUGCCCGUGUGGAAGUUGAAAAGAUUAUUGGAAGAGGCAGUGGGUUUGUUGCCGUUGAAAUUCCAUUUACACCUCGUGCAAAGCGUGUACUCGAACUGUCACUUGAAGAAGCUCGCCAGCUAGGGCAUAACUAUAUAGGAUCUGAGCACUUACUCUUAGGGCUACUUCGUGAGGGUGAAGGUGUGGCAGCUCGAGUUCUCGAAAGCCUUGGUGCUGAUCCAAACAACAUUCGUACCCAGGUUAUAAGAAUGGUUGGUGAAAGCACAGAAGCUGUUGGUGCUGGGGUUGGUGGGGGCAGCAGUGGCCAGAAGAUGCCUACACUUGAGGAAUACGGUACUAAUUUGACAAAGCUGGCAGAAGAGGGUAAACUAGACCCAGUUGUUGGCAGACAGGAUCAAAUUGAGCGUGUAACUCAAAUUUUGGGCAGGCGGACAAAGAACAACCCGUGCUUAAUUGGAGAGCCUGGUGUUGGCAAGACUGCUAUUGCAGAGGGGCUUGCACAACGUAUUUGUAAUGGUGAUGUUCCGGAAACAAUUGAAGGAAAGAAGGUUAUCACCCUUGACAUGGGGCUCCUUGUUGCUGGUACCAAGUACCGUGGAGAGUUUGAAGAAAGGCUGAAGAAGCUUAUGGAAGAAAUUAAGCAAAAUGAUGAUAUUAUACUUUUUAUUGAUGAAGUGCACACGUUGAUCGGAGCAGGUGCAGCUGAAGGUGCAAUUGAUGCUGCUAACAUCUUAAAACCAGCUCUUGCAAGAGGUGAACUGCAGUGCAUUGGUGCCACAACACUGGAUGAGUACAGGAAACAUAUUGAGAAAGAUCCUGCUUUGGAGCGAAGGUUUCAACCAGUCAAGGUUCCAGAGCCCACUGUUGAAGAAUCAAUACAAAUCUUAAGAGGACUUCGUGAGAGAUAUGAACUUCAUCAUAAGCUGCGAUACACAGAUGAUGCUUUAGUUGCUGCUGCGCAGUUAUCAUAUCAGUAUAUCAGUGACCGCUUCCUGCCUGACAAGGCUAUUGACUUGAUCGAUGAAGCGGGGUCCCGUGUUAGGCUGAGGCAUGCACAGCUACCUGAUGAGGCCAAGGAGCUGGACAAAAAACUUCGCCAAAUAACAAAGGACAAGAAUGAGGCUGUGCGUGGCCAAGAUUUUGAGAAGGCCGGGGAAUUAAGAGACGAGGAAAUGGAGCUGAAGGCCCAAAUUACAGCCAUUAUUGACAAGAGCAAGGAAAUGGUUAAAGCAGAGACUGAAUCCGGUGAAGUUGGCCCUCUUGUCACAGAGGCAGAUAUUCAACACAUCGUCUCAUCAUGGACUGGUAUACCUGUGGAGAAAGUCUCAUCUGAUGAGUCUGACCGCCUACUUAAGAUGGAAGAGACUCUCCAUACACGUAUCAUUGGGCAGGAUGAAGCUGUCAAAGCUAUUAGCCGUGCUAUCCGCCGUGCUCGUGUUGGCCUCAAGAAUCCAAAUCGGCCCAUUGCUAGCUUCAUAUUCUCUGGACCAACUGGUGUUGGUAAAUCAGAAUUAGCAAAGGCUCUGGCAUCCUACUACUUUGGCUCAGAGGAAGCCAUGAUCAGAUUAGAUAUGAGUGAGUUCAUGGAGAGACAUACGGUCUCCAAACUCAUCGGAUCACCUCCAGGUUAUGUUGGCUACACUGAGGGAGGUCAACUAACAGAAGCAGUCCGCCGCCGUCCAUACACAGUUGUUCUCUUUGAUGAGAUUGAAAAGGCACAUCCAGAUGUCUUCAAGAACACACUGUUGAUCAUGACAUCGAAUGUCGGAAGCAGUGUCAUCGAGAAGGGAGGCCGGAAGAUUGGGUUUGACCUUGACUCUGACGAGAAAGAUACCAGCUAUAACAGGAUCAAGAGCUUGGUGACCGAGGAGUUGAAGCAGUAUUUCCGGCCUGAGUUCUUGAACAGAUUGGAUGAGAUGAUUGUGUUCCGGCAGUUGACAAAGUUGGAGGUGAAAGAGAUCGCUGAUAUUAUGCUCAAGGAGGUGUUUGAUAGGCUCAAGGCAAAGGAAAUCGACCUCCAGGUAACAGAGAAGUUCCGGGAUAGGGUUGUUGAUGAAGGUUACAACCCGAGCUACGGUGCCAGGCCUCUGCGACGCGCCAUUAUGAGGCUUUUGGAAGACAGUCUGGCUGAAAAGAUGCUGGCUGGCGAGGUCAAGGAAGGUGAUUCUGCUAUUGUUGAUGUGGAUUCGGAUGGUAAGGUGGUAGUUCUCAACAGCGGGGGUGGUAUUGCAGAGCCGCUGGAGCCUGCUCUGAGUGCCUAG
rnacentral:rRNA from 1 species